AAGUCGUAACAAGGUUUCCGUAGGUGAACCUGCGGAAGGAUCAUUAUCACGUAUCCACGUAUCAACCAUUGUGAACUGUGUUUUUAUUGAGGAGAGUAAGAUUUAAACUGCGUAUGGGCCAUUGCGUGCUAUCAGUAAAUCGCGUUGACUCCUUAAUAAAUUCUCUACCUUCAUUGAGAUUUGUAAGAUAAGUGAUUGAUUUUUUUCUUUCAUGAUUUUUCUCUCUGAAGCGUAAUAUCUUACACCAUAACCAAUUGAACCAAUUUUAUGAAUUUAGUACUGAUUUAUAUUUCUGGCUUUGAAAAGAGCGGAAAUUUUUUUCUAUACGAAAAAAAAAUUUAUACAACUCUUAGCAACGGAUAUCUUGGUUCUC
rnacentral:misc_RNA from 1 species